UACAGAGGGUGCGAGCGUUAAUCGGAAUUACUGGGCGUAAAGCGUGCGCAGACGGUCAUGUAAGUCGGGUGUGAAAGCCCCGGGCUCAACCUGGGAAUUGCAUUCGAGACUGUGUGGCUAGGGUGCGGAAGAGGGAAGCGGAAUUUCCGGUGUAGCGGUGAAAUGCGUAGAUAUCGGGAGGAACACCUGUGGCGAAAGCGGCGCACUGGACCAUAACUGACGCUGAGGCGCGAAAGCUAGGGGAGCAAACAGG
rnacentral:rRNA from 1 species